rnacentral:rRNA from 1 species
UCUGGCUCAGGAUGAACGCUAGCGACAGGCUAACACAUGCAAGUCGAGGGGCAGCAUAAAAGUAGCAAUACUUGGUGGCGACCGGCGCACGGGUGAGUAACGCGUAUGCAACCUACCUAUCAGAGGGGAAUAACCCGGCGAAAGUCGGACUAAUACCGCAUAAAACAGGGGCACCGCAUGGUGAUAUUUGUUAAAGAAAUUCGCUGAUAGAUGGGCAUGCGUUCCAUUAGGUAGUUGGUGAGGUAACGGCUCACCAAGCCGACGAUGGAUAGGGGAACUGAGAGGUUGGUCCCCCACACUGGUACUGAGACACGGACCAGACUCCUACGGGAGGCAGCAGUGAGGAAUAUUGGUCAAUGGGCGGGAGCCUGAACCAGCCAAGUCGCGUGAAGGAAAGAAGGAUCUAUGGUUCGUAAACUUCUUUUGCAGGGGAAUAAAGUGCAGGACGUGUCCUGUUUUGUAUGUACCCUGAGAAUAAGGAUCGGCUAACUCCGUGCCAGCAGCUGC